rnacentral:rRNA from 1 species
CCUACGGGAGGCAGCAGUGAGGAAUAUUGGUCAAUGGCCGGAAGGCUGAACCAGCCAUGCCGCGUGAAGGUCAGUGCCCUAUGGGCGUUAAACUUCUUUUGUGCGGGAGCAAUAAUGGUCACGUGUGGCCAGACGAGAGUACCGUACGAAUAAGCAUCGGCUAACUCCGUGCCAGCAGCCGCGGUAAUACGGGGGGUGCAAGCGUUAUCCGGAUUUAUUUGGUCUAAAGGUUGCGUAGGCUGGUAGGUAAGUCAGAGGUGAAAUGCCCCGGCUCAACGGGGUGAAGUGCCAUUGAUACUGCCGAGCUGGAAUGCGGAUGCGGUGGGAGGAAUGUGUGGUGUAGCGGUGAAAUGCAUAGAUAUCACACAGAACACCGAUUGCGAAGGCAACUAACG